rnacentral:tmRNA from 1 species
GGGGCUGAAGGGUUUCGACGUUCGGACCGGAAGCCUGUUCAUGCGACCCGAGUUGCUCAGACUCGUUAAUCGGGGCAACCAAAAGAAGCGCCAACAGCGACUUCGCUCUCGCCGCCUGAUCUAGUCAGGUGAAGAGAGACAUCGUGACCAGCAAUGGCACACGGGGCCAGACCGCUACAGCCCGGCAACAGAAGUAGCGGUGGACGGCAGGGAGAGACCGCUGACGGCGUGAAAGAACGCUGGCAUCAGGGAAAGACUUGGCGGUGGACCUCGGUCCAAUCGACCCGGCGAUGUGGCAGCCGUAGAGCCACAACCACGGGAAUGGUCGUAGCAGGUCAGGUGACCGCCGAGCGGACGGGAGUUCGAUUCUCCCCAGCUCCACGA